GUACAACUGCUCAAAUAAUUUACACACAUAUAUUUACAUGCAUAAUCAAGAUCUAAUAUACAAAGGUAUAACUAAAUAACCAUACAAAAACCUUAGUAUAGUCCCAACAAUCGGCAACUCACUCUGCUGCCUUUUUCCUUGUCUCUAUCUCUUUUGUCGACUCAACUUACUCAAACUUUCGUUUCUCCUUCGAAGAUCCCUUUCCAACAAUCAAAGACACAACCACGCAGCAAUGGAGGCUUCGAAAUUCACACUCGCAUAGCAAAGGCUUAGAAAUCCAUCUUGAGAGAAUCAGCAGCAAUAGAUUUUCUGUUUUACAAAACUCUAAGGAGGGACUGGUUAAGGCAAUAAUAGAUUCUCAGCUUUCGUUAAGGUGAAAGUUUCGUUUUCAG
rnacentral:misc_RNA from 1 species